rnacentral:piRNA from 1 species
UGAAAGAAUCUGCACUUGUCCCUUCCCAGC